ACCAGAGGCCGCCCGAGUCCCGGCUCGCUCCCCUCCUUGCGCCCUUCGCCGGGGCGGGCAGCCGGGCGGCCGCCGAGGGACAUCUCGCGGCUACACCCGCAGAGGGAAGUUCUCCCAGGCAGCCGGCGGAGCCGCAGGGGACUACGGAAAGGAGGAUGCAACGAGCCUGGGUCCCUCCGAGCUGAGUAGGGCCCGGAGUGGCCCAGAAGCGCUCGACUCCGAACGCAAAAAAUGCCUCCCGCAAACUUUUCCCGUGGGCGCCGGAGGGCCUGGAGCUGGCGGAGAGGAGGGCGCGAGUCCAGGCGGGGUCGGCCUGAAGGCAGCUGGGGUCUGGGCUUCGAGGGAAGGAACCGCAGCCGAGGCGGUGCCGGCCGCAGAAGGCUGAGAUGCUGUUUCUAACAAACCUCCCGAUGCUGCUGAUGCUGCAUAUCUGAAGACCACACUUUGAGAAGCAAGGAUCUAGGAGUUGUUUGUUAUUCAUGGAAUAAAUAUAUUUCCCAUCAUGUUCCAGCUGCUCUGGUUAAACAAGCCACUAUUGUCUUUUCCAGAAAGAUUUCUCUGACUCCAGCUCCCCUUUGGGUGCUCCUUUUUCUAAACUGUAAUUGAUUAAUAAUUCACCAUUUAUUUCAUGUGUGGAGCAGGGAUAGUGGUGCUUGCCUGAUGUGCAUUCCUUACAAACACCUACCUGGGCAUCGGGGACACAGUGUCCCCUCAAACAAUCUCUGCUGAUUAACUGGAAGAUAACACUAGCUUACAUUUUUGGAGGACAUACCAUGUGCCGGGUACCUAGCUAAGUGUUUUACAUGCAUUGUCUCCCUCAUUCAGCUACUACUGUCCUCAUUUCACAGAUGAACAAACAAAGGCCGAUCUGCCUUGUCGACCUCUGCCCACCACCAUAAUCCACAGGGGUACUGCCCGCUAGGGGGCAUUUUGGAAAUUUGCAGGUACUUUCAUUGGUCAUCACAAUGAUGGGAGGAGGGGGCCACUGACAUUUAGUUGGGGGUGGCCCCAGAUGCAGGAGAUUGGUCUGUGUCCCACAUGGCUUUCAUUUGUCAGACCUGACCUUUGCUUCAGUUGAAAUGUGCAUCGAAUUACGGUGGAACUUUAACUUUGUUUUACAUAUAAACACAAAAUGUUUUUGCAUCUUGUGAAUACACACAGGAAUUUCUGGAAAUGCAACUACUGUAUAAGUCUAGGAAGGGAUGGUACUCUUUUUACCACUUUGGAAAAUCAGGACACAGAAGCCAGUUCCAUUCAUGUUAUCUGUUUCAGCAAUCAACACAUAUAUGAUGCCCACAAGCCCAGUAAUUUCAUAUGUGUAUAUUUCUUUAGUUCCUGUUUCAAAAUAACAGCAAUUUAAAGAAAAAGUGUAAAAAAUAUUCCAGAGUGCCUGACUCUCUGUUCUUAAAUUAUAAAUAGGUACAAAUAUCUGACUGCUUAUUUGUGACCUCUGGUGUAGCUCUGAGUGAGCAUUUAAAUAUUAAUUAUGUAUUACUUUAUUUUAUUCCUCCUCUAUUAUAAUUUAGGUCAUUAUAUUGAUUUUUCAACUAUGUGUAUAUGCAUUAGCCAUGAAUUAAUUUCAUAAUCACAAUAGUGAAUAAUGUAAAACAGUUGGGGCCAGGCACAGUGGCUCACGCCUGUAAUCCCAGCACUUUGGGAGGCCGAGGCAAAAGGAUCACCUGAGGCUAGGAGUUUGAGACCAGCCUGGUCAACAUGGUGAAACCUUGUCUUUACCAAAAAUACAAAAAUUAGCCAGGCCUGGUGGUGCACACCUGUAAUCCCAGUUACUCGGGAGGCUGAGGCAGGAGAAUUGCUUAACCUGGAAGGCAGAGGCUGCAGUGAGCCAAGAUUGUGCCACUGCACUCCAGCCUGGGUGACAGAACGAGACUUUGUCUCAAAAAAUAAAUAAAUAAAUAAAUAAAUAAAUAAAUAAAUAACCAAACAAAACAGUUGGUAUAAAAAGGGAGACUGGACCAUUACAGCCAAAAGAUCCUGAGGAGACACAACCACUAGCUGAAAUAUGGCAUUGUGGAAGAAAUCCUGGAACAAAAAAAAGACAUUAGGUAAAAAUCAAGGAAUUCUGAAUCAAGUAUGGACUUCAGUUAGUAAGGUCUCAAUUAUUAGUUGUAAAAAAAAGUGCACUCAUGUGAGAUGUUAGUAAUGAGGGCACUGGGUGCAAGGUACAUGGAACUUUCUAAUCUUCUCAACUUUAUGCAAAUCUAAAACUGUUGUAAAAAAGGAAAGCUGAGGAAGGGCUUCAAGACAGCUGAUUAGAAGCAUUUCAUGCCCACCUCUUCCACUUAGUGUGUAUAGACAGUCAUACUUUGAAUACACCAUCCAAGAGAGAAUGUCGGGAUUCAAUAGAGAAGUAACAAGAAACACCAGAAAGCAGGUAAGAAGGGAGAGAGACAGCCUGCCUGGAGGGGAUGAACUGGGAGCAGGAGUAACUUCCCAAGGCAAGGAAAGGGUGAGUGACUUCCAGAGGCCCACAUCCCCACCAUGGAAUCCUGCAUUCCUGCCACAAGAGAGUCCCUCAACCCUCCCAACUCCUGACACUAACAUAGGGAGCUGCUGGGAGAUCAUGGGAUGGAACCACUCCAGGGAGGGAGCUCACAUUGGGUCCCAUACCCUUUCUGAGCCUAAGCAGCUAUGGCAAGGUGCCAUUUUCAGACCUAGCCUUUGGCAGACUGCAUACUGUCCUGGAGCCCAGCAAUGGCAAGACUGAGGCAUUACAGAGACUCUGUUGCUGCUGGGACUGGGUAGCAAGCUGGAAGUUGUCGCACAGCCAGAGCUAAAAAGCAAGCAAGCUGUGGGCAGCCGUUGUUGGUGCCAAGAAGUGAGUGCCACUGGGACAGAAGACUGGGAUGCAAGCAGGGUGUGAGUUGCUGCUUGGUCUUAGUCGCCAGCUGGGUGGGAGCUCCUACAGCCAGGGAGGGGCAUAAACUAGGAACAGGCUACUACUGCUGAGGUGGGGAACAAGCCCCACUGGAACUGGAGCAUGAGAGAGAUGUGGUUUUCCUACCCUCUGGCCCAGGCUGUGACCACUGAGGAUGACCCCACCCUCUCCAGUGGCAGGGCCUCAGUACAGCUGCUACCACCCUUUACCCAAGCACUCCACCUGCCGUCUGAGGAUCACCAUGCCCCUGCCAACCAUGUCAUCCAGGCUGGUCUUCAACUCCUGACCUCAAGUGAUCUGCCCACCUCAGCCUCCCAAAGUGUUGGGACUACAGGCAUGAGCCACCAUGCCCAGCUGCAGAAAAGAUAACUAUUGGGUACUGCACUUAAUACCUGGAUGAUGAAAUAAUCUGUACAACAUUCCUGGUGACAUGUGUUUACCUAUGUAAAAAAACCUUCACAUGUACCCCCAAACCUAAAAUAAAAUUAAAAACAAAGAAAAAUAAAAGAAAGUCAUAUAUGGGUAAGAGCACAUGGUCAUAAAACCUGACAACUGAA
ensembl:lncRNA novel transcript, antisense to TMEM163